rnacentral:lncRNA from 1 species
CAGCUGCUGCUCCGGUCCCUGCAGCCGCCGGGUUCCCAGGCGGGUCGACGCACAGGUCGUCGUCGCCGUCUCUUCAGUCUCCGGACGGGUCGACGCAGAGGUCGCCGUCGUCGCCGUCUCUUCAGUCUUCGGACGGGUCGACGCAGAGGCCGUCGCCGCCGUCCCUUAACUUUGAACUUUGUUGUCACCCCAGGAGAUGUGGUGGGAUGACAAUGAGGACACCACCACCCUGCUCCUGUCUCCUUGGGGGGCCCCUGAGAACUGUGCUCCUGUCCUGGCCCCUCAGCUCCAGCUGGCUCAAAGUUUGUCGCCGCCGGGCAGUCCGCCCGGGGCUCCCCAGCCUUGUUCGUCGCCGCCGGGCAGUCCGCCUGGGAGUCCUCAGCCGUCUUGCUGCUCCCCGGCUCUCUGCUCGCCAUCCGGCAGUCCGCCUAGGGGUCUCCUGCCUCGUGGGUCGUGUGCUGGCCCCCGGCCUGGGGGUCCUCGGCCUGCUUUCCGGCUGGCUUUCCGGUCCCCGGUUCUCCAGCCGGCUCAAGGGUCUCGGGCUCUGUCUUCUGGUUCGCCGCCUCCCGGCCGUCCGCCCGAGGCUCUGUCUUCUGGUUCGUCGCCUCCCGGCCGUCCGCCCGAGGCUCUGUCUUCUGGUUCGUCGCCUCCCGGCCGUCCGCCCGAGGCUCUAUCUUCUGGUUUGUCGUCUCUGCCUUCUGGUUCGUCGCCUCCCGGCCGUCCGCCCGAGGCUCUGUCUUCUGGUUCGUCGCCUCUGCCUUCUGGUUCGUCGCCUCUCCAGUCCUGUUCGCCGCCUCCCGGCCGUCCGCCCGAGGCCCGGCUUUCUGGUUCGUCGUCUCUUCAGUCCUGUUCGCCGCCUCCUGGCCGUCCGCCGGAGGCACUCCUGGUCCGUUUGCCGCCUCCUGGCCGUCCGCCGGAGGCACUCCUGGUCCGUUUGCCGCCUCCUGGCCGUCCGCCGGAGGCACUCCUGGUCCGUCUGCCGCCUCCUGGCCGUCCGCCGGAGGCACUCCUGGUCCGUCUGCCGCCUCCUGGCCGUCCGCCGGAGGCACUCCUGGUCCGUCUGCCGCCUCCUGGCCGUCCGCCGGAGGCACUCCUGGUCCGUUUGCCGCCUCCCGGCCGUCCGCCGGAGGCACUCCUGGUCCGUUUGCCGCCUCCCGGCCGUCCGCCGGAGGCACUCCUGGUCCGUUUGCCGCCUCCCGGCCGUCCGCCGGAGGCACUCCUGGUCCGUUUGCCGCCUCCCGGCCGUCCGCCGGAGGCACUCCUGGUCCGUUUGCCGCCUCCCGGCCGUCCGCCGGAGGCACUCCUGGUCCGUUUGCCGCCUCCUGGCCGUCCGCCGGAGGCACUCCUGGUCUGCUGCGCCCGGUCCCUCCUCCGGGCCUCCCUCCGCCCGCCCGGUCUGGUGUUUCGGGCCCUCCUCCGGGCCUCCCGCCCCCCGCCCGUCCUGG